rnacentral:rRNA from 1 species
UACGGAAGGCAGCAGUGGGGAAUAUUGCACAAUGGGCGAAAGCCUGAUGCAGCUAUGCCGCGUGUAUGAAGAAGGCCUUAGGGUUGUAAAGUACUUUCAUCGGGGAGGAAAAAACAAAACUAAUAAUUUUAUUUCUUGACGUUACCCGAAAAAGAAGCACCGGCUAACUCCGUGCCAGCAGCCGCGGUAAUACGGAGGGUGCUAGCGUUAAUCAGAAUUACUGGGCGUAAAGAGCACGUAGGUGGUUUUUUUAAGUCAGAUGUGAAAUCCCUGGGCUUAACCUAGGAACUGCAUUUUGAAACUGAAAUACUAGAGUAUCGUAGAGGGAGGUAGAAUUCUAGGUGUAGCGGUGAAAUGCGUAGAUAUCUGGAGGAGUACCUGUGGCGAAAGCGGCCUCCUAAACGAAUACUGACACUGAGGUGCGAAAGCGUGGGGAGCGAAACAGGGAUUAGAUACC